AGGAAAACAGAACUCCCCUUUACCUCAGACAAGAGCAGAGAGAGGCAAACAAGUUGGAGGGGGGGGAAUGAGGAGUGGGGCUGGCCCCUCCUCAUUCUUGUAAAAGAAGCAGGAAGAAAGAGAAAGGCAAAAAAAAAAGGGGUAGGGAAAAAAAGGAAAUCACAGCCAUACGAGCUACGCUCCCCCAGCUGAACUCUAUCUGCGUUUUAACAGUGAGAGAAAAGACAUUAUAUGGCAUCGCGCUCCUCCUGCAACCCGGCCAGCCUCAUCUGUCAGCCAUUACUUAAUCAUGGCCGAUAACACAGAGCACAGAGAGCUGGCACAGCGCGUGGGACCAAAAGACAGUUUCACCUCUGAGAGCAAGAGGAGGGCAAGGACUCAGGGACCUCUGAUUCAGCGAUCUACAGCUGGGUUGCUUCACUCACCAGCACCCACUCAGGACUGGCAGGCAGAAACCUCGAGAUGACCCAACCUACUCCUUUAAUCUAAACAGAUGCAGUUGACUUUAUAAUGUGGAAAUAAUUUCUGUCUGUCCAGUUUUUGACAGACGUUCUGACGCAAGAUCCACAUUGAACUUCCGAACGGCUAAAACUAAACAGCACAUUCUGACUAAACGCCUCUGCAACACUGUACCUCAUUUUAGCCAAGUCCAAGGAUGGUAUCAAUUCUCAGCAAAGGAAAAAUUUUCCACCGGAGGAAAAAUACAAUAGGAAUCAAGACAGAAAGUAAAUAACAACAAUGAAGGAGAACAGAUAAUAGUCAGAGUUCCUCCGUCAAUCCAAAUGCAUCAUGCAGGGGUCAUGUGGUGAGGUGGAAUUAACAUCCUUUAUAACUUAAAAAAAGAAACAGACCUACAAGGUGGUGAUAUAGCAUUUACAGUACAGUCUGAUCAAAAACAUAUAUUUAGGUUUUUAUUUUAGCUAAAAGCUGAAGCAAAACGCUAUAUGCUCUCUGAAACUGAGCUAGAACACAGUAUCUAUCAUUAUCGCUCCCACAAGAGGGGAAACAGCUCCAUUUCAUUUCAUCACUUGAUAGCAUCGACAUGCCCAAACAUGAACAGGCCCCAUUAAGUCUGUGGUGGUAGCCUCAUGUGAGAGGACUUUUCAUGUAAGUGGAGUCUAUGAAGAACUCCUGUGGGUUUAAAAACACUUCACAGUGCUUCGCUUAAAGGAAUGAGAAAAAGCAGAUGUUCUGUACCUGUGUGAAAACACGAUCAUGUUCUCUGCCAUUCAGCCAGCCUGGAGAAGACCAAAUUAAAUGCUUCCAGAGACCUUCAAUCCCUGUCUCCUCUCUGUUCAUCUCACUGCAUCAGCUCCCAAGCUGGAUCACCCACAACAGCUACGCUCACUAAAUGGACUCUUUAUUUUCUUUCAGUAGCUUUCACACACUCACUGUGCUUCAGCAGGAGCACAAUGAGUAGUUAGGAGACUUCUCCUAACUACUCAUUAAACUAAACUAGAUCAUGACGAUACUUGUGCAAGAUAUCUUCUGAUAUCAUCUCACAGCAUCAGUGCCACCUAAACCUUAGCGGUUUGGCAAAAUGUGUAAGCCCCAGUGAUUGAUCCUUUAUGUUAAAGUCUUUUCUCAGAUACCAAUUUAGCACAGCAAUGAUUGUUCUAGUGACCAGCACCAGGGAGAACUUUUCAGCCGCUGCUCCAACAACCUAAACUCAACUAGCACACGGGCAGCAUAAGGAAUCACAAGGCUGAUGAUGUCACAAACAACUGACCCCAAAGUGACAGGUUUGGAAGAGGUUUCCCCCCUGUUGCCCUCAAACUGGAGUCAAGUAUGUCAAUGCUCUACAUGUGGAUUUCAUUUGAAGCAGCAUGAUUAGCGUGCAGACGCUUUACUGUGAUCCCCCCUCCAUGGGAAACCCACACUCGACGGGAAAUGGUAUGUUUUUGUUAACAACAAACAGGCAUAAAUCACAUAAGUGGUGCAACACAGUCGUAUCGCUGGUCCUUACACCCAGCUGACAUCAAGAUUGCUUUUAAGGUAAUUACCAUUAGCUAAUGGAUAUUUAUGUUCCUAAAAGUUUAUGUUGAACUGUGUGCCUGAAAUCCGGAACCUGUGCAAUAAAUGUGGUAAUUGUUUUGUGUCUUUUUCUCUUUUUAAAAUACUCUCUGAUGGCGUGUAUUGGGAAAAUGAAUAUGGCUUUGACAGUAACUAAUCAGUCAGGCCUUUCUGGUUACUUAAAACAGAUCGAUGGAAAGACACCUAAGUCAGUCAGUCAAUCAGUGAAGAAGCAAGUAAACAGUUUAAUUUAUCAAGAUAUAUUUUUUAAUAUGCAGAAGGUGCCAAAAAGGAAAACAAAAAUGAAAUCAAGGGCACAACAAGCAAGAUUAGUGUCUGAGAUCAAGUCUCAAUCUGAAAAGGUGAGUUUUGAAAAGUCAGUUUAAGAGUGUAAAGAUUUUAUAAAUCGAGAGGCAGAGAGAGAGAGAGAGGCAGAGCUCAUUUAUGAAUGUUUUCAAGAUGGUAGUAUGCAGUCAGGUUUAUUUCCAGGUUUGUAGUCUGAUUUAAAAAUAUUGAGAGGGCUUGAUUAAAAUGGAUGGCAAUUAAGGGUGUCUCUGCAAGAUUAAAGGAUUUUAAUACUACAGUCUCUUAUGAAAUGUUUUGACAGAAAAAAGGUGGGUGUUUGAAUAUAUUUGAUUUAUGAUGUAACAUAUAACAACUAACAUAUGAACUACUGCUCCAAACUGAUAUGUAUAAAACUGAAGGUUGAAAAUUAUAAAAAAAAGAUUUGGUGGAUAUUACAAAGGUAAGAUGCUUUUACAUAAGGUAAGAUAAAUCCAAAGCCAUGAGCAAUAUUUGAAAUGUUAAUUAAAACAACUGCCUGCCCCCCACCUCCCCACCACGCUGCCUAUUUCACCUGCCUCUCCUAUUUCACCUGAACAAAAAAGGUUUGUUUGCAUGAACAACAAGUACGUUUUGAGUCAUUGCGAAUUCCUAUAUUAUAUAACACUUUAUGCAUUACAGAAGAUGUAUUGAUAAUUGUAAUUUUGAAUAGAAAAAGACAAUAAUAAUUAUUGUGUUGUGUACAUUGGUGCUUUGCGGGUCAAUAGGUCAAAUAAUCAUUUACUUUUAAAGAAUUUAGUAAUUCUGGCAUAUUAUGGGUUAUUUGAAGGCUUUGUUGAAAUACUAAUUUAAAUAUAGAGUUUGACAAUACUUCAAAGAUUAUAAUUGCCUGCAUUUUGCAAAUAGUGUUUGGGGUUUUUUUUUUUCAGAAUUUCUACUCCUUUUUCCAAAAACUAAACAAGACUUGCCAGAAAAAAAUUAAUACCAAUUAUUGUUGCGGUUAAAAAACAAAAAGAUAAUAUUACACUGUCUCCAGCCAAAUGCAUUACAGAGAGCACUAUUAAUACAAUGGUAAACAGAUGUGCCACCCAGCGCUACGGUUUAAUUUGGACUCUGCAUGUUUUUCUCCAAAGAGAUUACAGAAGAAAAUGUUAAAACACAUAAAAGGGAAAGGGCCUGGAGUGUUAUUACACUGUAAUGUGCCAAGGUAUGUGAAACACUAUAGAAGCAGAGUUUAAGUUUAAAUUAUUUAAAGGAUUACUGAAAAACAAAACAGUAAAGUCAAAUUGAGGGUCAAAUACCAAAAUAUCCCUAAUGGCCUGCAGAUCACAUCUUUUCUAUGGGGUGCUGCAUGUUAACUUUGUACAUAAACUGUGUGUGUAUUGCAUGUACGCAGUAUGUAGAGCAUAUAAAUGUACUGUAUAUAAAAAGUCACUGUACAUGAAAACAAACUCUUUGUAAAGUCAGUGGCUAUUUACCUUUAACCCUUGCAAAGCAACGUGUUUUUUUCUGUCUUGCCGUUCCUUGUGCAACAUUUUUGGCCUUAUGACAUUCACUAAAGUCCAGUGUUGUUUUUUUGUUUGUUUGUUUGUCAAUAAAAUAUUACAGUGAGAAACAACACAAAUUUCACAGUUAUGUUUCUUUAAUGUUCUUUACAGUUGGAAACAGCUAAUUUAACAUAUUUAUAUAUUUCGCAUGUGAAUGAAAUAAAUAGCAACAAGAACAACAACGUACCAAAAUAUGCAAAAUAAAGCAGAGUUGGCCCUUUGGGUUUGUGCAACUUUGCACCACAGAGUUUAAUAAAACGACUGGGAGUGAAACUGCCAUGGGUGAGGAGUCUCGGUUGUAGUGGAAAGUCUUCACACAAAUACGCAGGGAGAGAAGCAAAAAAAAAAAAAAAAAAAAACACAAAAAGAGGGAGACUGCGAUCCUCCUCCACUGGGAAGGAUACCAACAUAAACAGAGACCAAGCUGCAACACUUCACCUGAAAUAUUUGUCAUGAUAAUUUUAUGUUGGCUUAAUCCAAAUGUAACUCGGAGGAUUUACACAUGUUACAGUGUAUGACUGGUAAUUAAGUGUUUGUGGAAGCCUGACUCUGCAAAUAUAGAUUCAAUCCCUGCACAGUGUGUAAGUCCAACACAUACUCAGACUGUAUAUGGCAAAUGCACUGUGUUUACCUGGAUAAGUUACAAAGUGUUCACAGUUUA